ACUCAGCUGACUUUAACAUAGGCAGAGCACCCAGGGUUAUCCAGGUGGAUCCAAUUUCAUUGCAAGAGUACUUAAAAGUAGAAGAAGACAGAAGAGUGAGUCAAAGAAGGAUGUGAGCACUGAAGAAAGGCACAGAGAGAUGCAACACUGCUGUUAUUGAAAAUGGAGGAAGGGAGCUGUGAGUCAAGGUGUGUGGGCAUUAUCUGGAAGCUGGAAAGGGCAGGGAAAGAGCUUAUCCCCUAGAGACUACAGAAAGGAGGGCAGCAUCUGCUGAUACCUUCAGUUUCUUUUAGCCCAGUGAGACCAGCGUUGGACUUUUUUGUAAAGAACUAUAAGGGCACCUUCUUCGGAAAAAUUAAGAACCAACUGACAUCCAUCACCAGAGGGAACUAAGACUUUGAGACCACCUGCUACUAACUUUGACACAUCAAUGCCAACCUUUUGGAAAGUGUGUAAGCCACAGGGGGUAGUGACCAGGAAAAAUGAAUUGUAUUAAGACUGAGAUGUAGCAGAGAUCUUAUGGCACCUGUUUAAGAAUUCAAAAAUGGCAAUCAAGAUAAAUAUUUUUAUAUUGCCUUUAUCAAAUAAAAGCAAAAAAUAUGUGUUCUAUUUAGAUCUCAUCUGCCUUAUGCUCUUUCAGAAAAGAAUAAUUUGCAGAGGGAGACCUUAUUUAUCCCUCACAUAUUAAUUUAAAAAUAUAUAAUAACUAUGAAUACAUUCUGCAUAACAAGCAAGAGAGGAUGCAAACAAGUUCAGAUUGUCUCACUAGAAGUCUAGAGUGGAAGAUAAAGGUUUUUAUUCUCAAGACCUAUCCCAGUGCCUG
rnacentral:lncRNA from 1 species